UACGGGGGAGCAAGCGUUGUUCGGAUUUACUGGGCGUAAAGGCGCGUAGGCGGCCACCGCAAGUCGACUGUGAAAUCUCCGGCUUAACCCGGAAAGGUCAGCCGAUACUGCGGGCUAGAGUGCAGAAGGGGCAACUGAAUUCUCGGUGUAGUGGUGAAAUGCGUAGAGAUCGGAGGAACACAGUGCGAAGGCGCUCGCUGGCCGACCGUCGACGCUGAGACGCGAAGCGUGGGAGCGA
rnacentral:rRNA from 1 species